GACGAACGCUGGCGGCGUGCCUAAUACAUGCAAGUUGAGCGCUGAAGGUUGGUACUUGUACCAACUGGAUGAGCAGCGAACGGGUGAGUAACGCGUGGGUAAUCUGCCUUUGAGCGGGGGACAACAUUUGGAAACGAAUGCUAAUACCGCAUAAAAACUUUAAACACAAGUUUUAAGUUUGAAAGAUGCAAUUGCAUCACUCAAAGAUGAUCCCGCGUUGUAUUAGCUAGUUGGUGAGGUAAAGGCUCACCAAGGCGAUGAUACAUAGCCGACCUGAGAGGGUGAUCGGCCACAUUGGGACUGAGACACGGCCCAAACUCCUACGGGAGGCAGCAGUAGGGAAUCAUCGGCAAUGGACGAAAGUCUGACCGAGCAACGCCGCGUGAGUGAAGAAGGUUUUCGGAUCGUAAAACUCUGUUGGUAGAGAAGAACGUUGGUGAGAGUGGAAAGCUCAUCAAGUGACGGUAACUACACAGAAAGGGACGGCUAACUACGUG
rnacentral:rRNA from 1 species